UAUAAAUUAUUUUAUAAGUUGAAUAAUUUUGGUGUUUCUACAAAAUUAUUAGGAGCUGCAUAAGAAAUUCCCAUGAGAUCGAUCACUACCGAUCCUUCAAUCAUUACACUAAUUGAUAUCCAAAAUGGCAUUUCGUUUAGUGGUAAGUGGUGAUGACACUGAAGUUUUCAUCAAUGAUAGUAGUGAAACAAGUGAGUUAACGAGUGCUUGUCGUCAUAAAUUUAAAAUAUAACUCAGAUCAGCACAAAAUAUUAUUGAACUGCUACAAGAAGAGAUAAACACUGUACCCGCCAGAGGAGAUACUGUCCAACAUCAAGACUGAGCCUGAUGACAGCGAACUGGAGCUACAGAUAGCCCUCAAGAAAGCACCGAGAAUGAAGCUGCAGGAGGCUGUUACAGAAUCAAAGAACAAUGUAGAAAAGGUGGCAGAGUCAGUACUGGAGAGAAACACGGAAGGUGGUUCCAUUGUGCUGACUGUUACGGCAGAAUUCUGCCGUACGUUGGGUGACAUCCCCACUUAUGGUCUGGCUGGCAACAGGGAUGAGGACGCUCAGGAAUACUUGUGAGUGCAAUAUAACCAUCCACAGAUAAAUGUACACUUGG